AAGUACAUAACACCUCUUUAAGUCAAGGCUGUUUGUUAAAUGUACAUGUGUUUGAGCCUACUAUAGUAUUCUCAGAGUAAGGUUAUGCAUGCAGAUUUCUGUGGCCCAAAUUUAUUUUCACCAGCAGUGUUGUUGUGAUUGCUCAAAACAUUUUAUAGAACUCUCAUAACUGAAAAAAAUAGUUUUCGCCUUCUCUUUCUAAAAGCAUAUUUUCUACCUAUUUAUCUCUCACUCAGCCACAAUUACCUGGGAAAUGACUUUUAGUGCUUACAAUGAUAAAAAAAAAAUCAGAUACACUUUCAAAGGAGAGAAUUGCCACACUGAUACUGAGAAUCAUGUGCCUUUAUAUUAAUUGAAAGCCAGUCCCAAAAAAUUCUGAAGGGAUUUUUAUCAACAGCUGUAUAGCUAGAGAACCUUCCCAUUUUAGGAGACUAUUAUAAAGGAGAUAGAUACUAUAUAUAUUAUGCUGUUUAAAAUAUAAUUGCAUUCCUUUAUAACCACAAUCUAUACCCCAUUCUUUUUAGUCAUUAAAUUCCUACAAUUUGUUAUUAGACCUCAUCAAUCUUAAAAAUAAGAUUUUGAGGCAGUUUGAUCUUUGAAUGUAAGAGUAAGAACAAACUAUGUUCAUAAAGAUAUUUUAGAAUUUAAUUCAAUUUAUUUUUCUGGAGUGGAAGUAAUAGCAAUCCUCGAGAUGAUAGGACUUGACAGCCCCAAUGUUCAGACCCCUCUUUUAGGUUUCUCAGGUCAAAACACAGAUUGUUGAAGGAGCUUAUAAGGAUGCCAGUUUCUCUAUUUCUCCCACUUAACUGUGGAAUCCAGAUUUUCAUAAGGGGGAUCCACAAGGCAGUUUUGCAAAUACUAACUACAAUGUAAAACUCGAAGCACUCUUCCUAACUCAGAUUUCAUUUCAACCCCAGGGGAUUUUUCUAAUGAGAAUUUUUAUUUCUAACUAGCUGCUUAUUCAGGAGAAUCAUUAUCCAUUUAUAAAUUAAUUUCUUCUUGUACACACUGCAAGCUACUUAAGAGUUUCCAUGUGAAAGAAAGACUAAAUUUCGAUCAGCUCCUGAAAUUGCAUUUAUUUGUCCUUGAAACUUUCAAUUUGGGUCUUGUAUUUUAAACUUUUGUGCCCAUGGUAUUUUAAAAUGUAUGACAGCUUUCUCGCAAUUGGCUGUCAGUUGACCCCUCACUGAUCCUGUUACAGUUGCUCUGAAGGGGUUUUUAACCUGUCUUUGAGCUGCUGCCAGAAUCCUGCAAAGAAAAUUCACAUAAAUCCCACUGCCUAUAUUUUAUCACAGCAUCCCAGAUCUACCCUUCAAAUUGCUAUUUUCUUAAGCCAUUUUCUCAUGAUGCAGUUAUAGAUUGAAUCUUAAUUAUAUUUUACAAAGCUUAAUCUGCCAAUACUGGAUAGGUGCCUAGGAAAUGUGGCUUUUUAAAUUGAUGGUUUUUGUAAUCUUUAAUCUGCAAAUUUCACAUUUUCAAGUCAAAGUAUAAGAAAAAUAUAAUGAACACGUGUGUGUGUAUGUAUAUACAGUGGACCUCACUAUUUGUGGAUUCCACAUUUCCAAAUUUGCCUACUCACCAAAGUUUAUUUCUAAUCCUAAAAUCAAUUGGCAGCAUUGUCACGCUCCUUGGUGGACAUUUGCAGAGCAUCAAAGAUUUGCAUCAUCCAACACACGUUCCCAGCUCGGGUUGAACCAGGAAGCUCCAUCCAGAAAUAAUCCGUGAAUGAAAACACCUAAAUAUAAAAGAAACACAUUAAUAUAACACUUGAAAUAUGCAUUUUGAUUGAGUUCUGAAUCUGAAAUUUCUACAUGAAGGACACAAGAAGAAGCAGGUCAAGAAGAAAUACAUAAUCAUGCUGAAUGUUUCUUAAACAGCCUAGCCAGGUAACACUACAUUGAAGACCACAGUCAACAAUCACCGGUAUUCUUAUUGUGUUCAUUCAACAUGAUAAUGCCGCAUUCUUAAACAUAAGUAGACAACCCCAAAUUAUCAGAUACCAGAAAAGGCUUCUAACAUGUAAAGUUUUUCACUUAUGCAUUCAACUUCUAAACACAAAAAAGAUUAUUCUGAUUUUUUGUUUCUUCUUGUAUCUGUUUGGUAACAUAUGUUUUCCCAAGAAUUUGUCUAUUUCAUUUACAUUUUAAAAUGUAUUUACAUUUUAAAUGUAUUGGCAUAGGUUUGAGAAGGGAGGCAGAGCAAGAUGGCCAAUAGAAGCCUCCACAAAUCGUCCUCCCUGCAGGAACACCAAAUUUAACAACUAUCUACACAAAAAAGCAACUUCAUAAGAACCAAAAAUCAGGUGAAUGACCACAGUACCCAGUUUUAACUUUAAUCACUGAAAGAGGCACUGAAGAGGGCAGGAAAGACAGUCUUGAAUUGCUGAUGCCAACCCUCCUCCAUCACCCGGCAGUGGCAGUGUGGCACUGAGAAUCUGUCGCUUGUAGGAGGGAGAGCACAAUGAUUGAGACUGUACUGGAACUCAGUGCUUUCCUGUCACAGAAGACAGCAACACCAGGAAGAGCUCAGCUGAUGCCUGUGAAAGAAGCAUUUAGACCAACCCUAACUACAGGGGAAGCACACAUCCCAGCAGUUGGAACAGGAGUUUCAGCAAGCCUUGCCACCACCAGCUAAAGUGCUCUGGGGUUCUAAAUAAAUUUGAAAGGCAGUCUAGGCCACAGGAACGACAAUUCCUAGGCAAGGCCUAGUCCUGUGCUAGACUUGGAGCUAGUGGCUUGCGGGGGGCAUGCCAUCUAGUGAGACACCUGCCAGGGUGGUUAAUAGAGUGCUUGCACCACCCCUCCCCCAAUCCCAGGCAGCAUAGCUUGCAGCUCCAGGAGAGACUACUUCCUUACUGCUUGAGGAGAGGAGAGGGAAGAGUAAAGAGGACUUUGUCUUGCAACUUGGGGGCCAGUUCAGCCACAGUAGGAUGGGGCACCGGGAACAGUCCUGGGGUCCACAUUCUAAGCCCUGGCUCCUGGACAAUAUUUCUAGACACAUAUUUGGUCAUAAAGGAACCUGCACUCUUGAAGGGAAGUGCCCACUCCUGGUGGGAUUCAUCACCUGCUGACUAAGGAGCUCUUGGCCCUGAAUAAUAAGCAGCAGUAGCCAGGUAGUACACACCAUGGGCCUUGAGUGAGACUCAGUGCCAUGCAGGCUUCAGGUGUGACCCUGCACGUUUCCACCUUGGUGGCUACCAGGAGAGAUUCCUUUUUGAGGAAAGCACAGGGAAGAGUAAAGGGGGCUUUGACUUGCAGCUUAGGUACCAGCUUGACUGCUACAGUGGGGUAUGCACCAAGAGGUCUCCUAGGGUCCCCAAUUCCAGGCCUUGGCUCCUGGAUGGCAUUUCUGGAAAGGAGUUCAAGACUAGCCUGGGCAACAUGG
rnacentral:lncRNA from 1 species